rnacentral:rRNA from 1 species
UACGUAGGGGGCUAGCGUUGUCCGGAAUCAUUGGGCGUAAAGCGCGCGUAGGCGGCCCGGUAAGUCCGCUGUGAAAGUCCAGGGCUCAGCCCUGGAAAGCCGGUGGAUACUGUCGGGCUCGAGUCCGGAAGAGGCGAGUGGAAUUCCUGGUGUAGCGGUGGAAUGCGCAGAUAUCAGGAGGAACACCAAUGGCGAAGGCAGCUCGCUGGGACGGUACUGACGCUGAGGCGCGAAAGCGUGGGGAGCAAACAGG